rnacentral:rRNA from 1 species
UACGUAGGGUGCGAGCGUUGUCCGGAAUUAUUGGGCGUAAAGAGCUCGUAGGCGGUGUGUCGCGUCGGCCGUGAAAACCUGGGGCUCAACUCUGGGCGUGCGGUCGAUACGGGCAUCACUGGAGUUCGGCAGGGGAGACUGGAAUUCCUGGUGUAGCGGUGAAAUGCGCAGAUAUCAGGAGGAACACCGGUGGCGAAGGCGGGUCUCUGGGCCAGUUCUGACGCUGAGGAGCGAAAGCGUGGGGAGCGAACAGG